AUUGAACGCUGGCGGCAUGCUUUACACAUGCAAGUCGAACGGUAACAGGUUAAGCUGACGAGUGGCGAACGGGUGAGUAAUGCAUCGGAACGUGCCCGAUCGUGGGGGAUAACGCAGCGAAAGCUGCGCUAAUACCGCAUACGAUCUGAGGAUGAAAGCGGGGGACCGUAAGGCCUCGCGCGAUCGGAGCGGCCGAUGUCAGAUUAGGUAGUUGGUGGGGUAAAGGCUCACCAAGCCGACGAUCUGUAGCUGGUCUGAGAGGACGACCAGCCACACUGGGACUGGGACACGGGCCAGACUCCGACGGGAGGCAGCAGUGGGGAAUUUUGGACAAUGGGCGAAAGCCUGAUCCAGCAAUGCCGCGUGCAGGAAGAAGGCCUUCGGGUUGUAAACUGCUUUUGUACGGAGCGAAAAGGCUCUCUCUAAUACAGGGGGCUCAUGACGGUACCGUAAGAAUAAGCACCGGCUAACUACGUGCCAGCCGCCGUAAAAC
rnacentral:rRNA from 1 species